GGGCGAAGCUCUUCCAAAGUGUGAUGGUCCCUCUGGUUCAGGUUCGGGAGGCUACUACAUGGUUCUGGUCAACUUGUUUGCGUCAGGUGGGAUGUGGGAGGAGAUGGCAGGUGCGUAUAAGGCCAUGAAGGGGAGCCAGGUGUGGAGGACACCCGGGGUUAGCCAGAUAAUGGCGGAUGCAAAGGACCCGCACACUCUUCUCAAGGAUAAGAUGCAUCCGCAGUGGGAAGCGAUAUACGAGAUGCUGGACGACACGCUUGUCCCCCAGAUGAUGAAGUGGGAUUGUAACAGUGUGAGCUGGUUGAUGCAGUUGCAAACUUGCAUCAGCUGACUGAUCUCUUUGAACUUUUAGGGUAAUCGAUCUCUUUGAUGUCAAGCUUAUUACGUCCCACACACAAUGCUUUGACACACAGUACAGAUAUAUGAGAUGCUGGACGACGCACUUGUCCCUCUGGUGAAGGUGAAUUUAACAAAAUACCAUAUUCUACUUUCCUUAUACUCCUUCAGAUCCUAAAUACAAGUCCUUUUAGAGAUUUCUAUAUGGACUACAUACGGAUGUAUAUAGACAUAUUUUAGAGUGUGGAUUCACUCAUUUUGCUCCAUAUGUAGUUCAUAUUGGAAUCUCUAAAAUGACUUAUAUUUAGGAACGGGGGGAGUAGAAAAGAGGAACGCCAACCUGUGUUCAUGAGUUUCUUUAGCUACUGAACUCCUGAACCUCAAGAAAUCUGGAACUGUCUUCCAGAAUUUGUUGAUGGCUAUCUCUAGUGGUACUGGAUCUUUGCUGUCUUGCAUAUUGAAUGAUGGGAUGCUUGGUGCUGGGAACACUUUUGGUGGAGGUGCUGGAGACCUCACUGUGGUUUGUUGGCAAUCAAUGAACUCAGACAAAGCAUGAGAAGAUCUCUCUCAUUGUCCACACAGACCCUAACUAUUUACCUUUUCCCGUCGGAGAAGUUUAGCGCUGCUUAUCAAGGAGAUAGAGCCACUGACAUAUAGGUCCAAGAGUGAAACCACCAGUGAAGGAGACUCGCAUGGGCAGCGAGAAUAGGUUUAAAAAUGCGUAACUAACUGGCCCUGUCCAAGCAAUGGAGUUAAAACAAGGCACUCAAACCUCUAUCAGUUACUGCUGUAUGUAAUAUCACUUGUACACCAACAACAAAGGCUACUACCACAAGUGUGGCAACAUUGCAAGCCAUCCCAGGGCCUGUGACUAAAGGUAAUAAAUCACCAUCUUUUUACUCCAUUGAUUGAAUUUUAUUUUUAAUCUUCCUAAGGAAUCCAUGUGUUUAUAUUUGCAGGCAACUAGCUUUGGCAAAUCAAGAAGGGCGACGUAUCCGGUGAAAACUAACAUUCAGCGCAAAUCUGAAAGCUAACACCGUGGCCCAUUAGAUCGAUAUACUGGAUGGCAGAGAUCAAUAGUGGAAUUACCAACAAGCCACUUACGCACUGUUUUACACAUACCCCCUUAUCUUGGCAUCGGCGCCCGCAGCAGCUGCCCCGACGUGGCGGCGACUUGGUGGCCACGGGACGGAGGUUCAGCGGCCGUGGUGCUGCUCUCAUGCGACGGUGGUUGGCGGUCGGGGUGCUGCCAAUCGCCAUGGCGACUUAGCGGCCGCAGCUAUGGUCUGAAUUUUGAAGCUCCAUCUGAAUGCUGUAAUUUUUUCUGCUGUUGAAGCUUCAGGCAGGCAAUCGAAGCUUUGAUUCUGUAGUCUCAUUUCAUUUCUCAUGCAGGCAGCCUGUAAUCUUUGGAUCUAUGAUCCUGAGAAACAUUUGAAAUGUUAUUAUCAAGCAAAUCACUGCGUGGAUUUUGUAUUCUCUUUAUCUUGACUCGAUGGUGUGAUUCAGUUGCAUAAAUCCGACGAGCUGAGCUAUUUUCCUCUACUAAAAGCGAAGUUUACGGGGCGUGUUUGCUUGCAUACAUUUGCUGAGCUGAUUUAUUUUACAUCCUUGAUUGGACAAAAUAGCACUACAUACAUCUGUAACUUCUAUAAGACGUUUUAGGUAGGGAUGGCACCCGCAGGGUUUGGGUAUGGGUGGAGUUACCCCAUACCCUUACCCAUCCCCUUGAGCUUACCCAUUACCCGUACCCAUACCCGUCAAUGGAUAUAAUUUUUUUCCAUACCCAUCACCCGGCAGGGUAAAUGGGUAUCCACGGGUAAAAAUACCCAUGUGUGCACACAUCAACCUAAGUAAGAAUACUUAUGCUUCGGUAGACCCCCCUAAAUACAUCAAGGGCUGAGAUUGUCCCAUACCUCUUCAUAAUAGAGGGCAAGAUGGUCUUUGUAAAAGUACGCCGUGAGUCCUCGUAUACGGAUUACACAGACAUGAACGGGCCAGCCCACUAAGCCAUUCCCCUCCUAACAAUAAAAGCGAGGUAAAUAUAGAAUAAAAAGGUGAACUCAUGAAACUCAAGACCUCACAGUUAAGCGCACGUGUUGCUAACCAAUUCACCCACCACUCCUUGUGGAAAUUUGUGGCGCCAAAUAAAUAAGAAAACACGACAGCAUUCAUACAUAUGAAAUAUUUUCUAAAAAAAGGUUCAAACUUUUAUUGAACAAAGCAGGAGCAAUUUUGAAAUGCCGUAUUUUUAUUUUUAUUUUUGUUUCUCCUGCUUUUUAAAAUUUUAAUUUAUUUUCUAUUUUUCAAAAUUCACAAACUAUUUUUAAAUCUUGAACAUUUUCUUAAAUCUGUGAACUUUUCAAAUUCGUGAAUAUUUUCUUAAAUUCGUGAACUUUUUUCCAAACUAUUUUGUCAAAUUUGUGAUUUUUUUUCAAUUUAGUAAUUUCCCGAACUCUUUUGUCAAAUUUGUGAACUUUUUUCAAUUUAGUAAUUUACCAAACUCUUUUGUCAAAUUUGUGAACUUUUUUCAAUUUAGUAAUUUACCGAACUCUUUGCUCGUGUCCGGAUCGCUCCCAAGCCCACUUCUGACCACCCUGGCCCACACAAACCCCUCGUCUCGCGCCCGUGUUCUUAGCCCGCGCCAGCUACCCGCAUUCAUGCCGAUGUAGAGCGUGUCGCUCCACAUUGAACACGACUCAGGACGGACGCGACCUCUCGUUGCCUCCGCCAUUGAAGCGGCGCGUCGGUCGAUGGCGCCGCCCGAGAGCGUCUCUGGUGUACCACGGUGGUUCUAUUGCCUGUUCGUCUGUAUGCCGUCAUUAAGCAGGCUCGCCAUCUGAGAGAUGACGGGACGGGCAGACAACCGCCAUGACCGCGAGCGGGAACAAUCUGCUGGAAUUUAGUCUAUUCUGGGCAGCCCAAUAACUAUUUCAGAAAUUCCUAAUAAAUCCUAGAGGCCCACUUAGCCCAUUUGUGCAAGGCAAGGGAUACUACUAAAGUUUAGUCCCACAUUGCUAGUUUAGUGGGAGUUGGACCUCCUUAUAAGGAUGAGGCUUUGAACUUUUUCAAGAUCUAUAAAGCUGAAGUGGAAAACCAACUUGAUCGAAAAAUCAAGAGGUUUAGGUCCGACCGUGGUGGAGAGUAUUUUUCCAAUGAAUUUGAUGCUUUUUGUGCGGAACAUGGUAUAAUCCAUGAGAGGACGCCUCCCUACUCACCUCAGUCAAAUGGGGUGGCCGAAAGAAAGAAUUGUACUCUAACUGAUUUGGUUAACUCCAUGUUAGACACAUCGGGUCUCUCCAAGGCAUGGUGGGGGGAGGCGAUAUUGACGGCAUGUCAUGUCCUAAACCGAGUCCCCACAAAGAACAAAGAGAUAACUCCAUUCGAGGAAUGGGAGAAGAAAAGGUUAAAACUCUCUUAUCUGCGAACAUGGGGUUGUUUGGCGAAAGUCAAUGUUCCAAUUCCAAAGAAGCGGAAGCUUGGACCAAAGACUGUGGAUUGUGUUUUCCUGGGAUAUGCUUUUCAUAGCAUUGGCUAUAGAUUCUUGGUUGUAAAAUCUGAGGUACCUGACAUGCAUGUCGGUACGAUCAUGGAGUCGAAUGAUGCGACUUUCUUUGAAUAUAUCUUUCCCAUAAAGGAUAUGUCUACCUCGUCUAAUCAGGAGAUGCCUAGUUCAUCGAAUUAGGAACUAGUUACAAUUACCGAACCUGCCAUUUCGAUGGAACACUUUGAAAAUUCUGUGGAGGAGAACAAUGAAGUUCCUACUAGGAGCAAGAGACAGAGGAUUGCAAAGUCCUUUGGUGAUGAUUUUCUUGUGUAUCUCAUAGAUGAUACUCCCAGUUCUAUUUCAGAGGCCUAUGCAUCUGAAGAUGCUGACUACUGGAAGGAAGCGGUUCGUAGCGAGAUAGAUUCCAUCUUGGCGAAUGAAACUUGGGAGAUAACUGAUCAUCCUUAUGGGUGCAAACCUAUAGGAUGCAAAUGGGUAUUCAAGAAGAAGCUUAGGCCUGAUGGCACUAUUGAAAAGUACAAGGCUCGGCUCGUGGCUAAGGGUUAUACCCAAAAGGAAGGUGAAGACUUCUUUGAUACUUACUCACCUGUGGCUCGACUGACCAUUAUUCGAGUUCUACUUUCACUAGCUGCCUCACAUGGUCUUCUUGUUCAUCAAAUGGAUGUUAAGACUGCUUUCCUAAAUGGAGAGUUGGACGAGGAAAUUUAUAUGGAACAACCAGAUGGGUUUGUACUAGAUGGUCAGAAAGGAAAAGUGUGCAAGUUGCUGAAGUCUUUGUAUGGACUCAAGCAAGCACCCAAACAGUGGCAUGAGAAGUUUGAAAGAACUUUAACCGCAGCAGGCUUCGUUGUAAACGAAGCUGAUAAAUGUGUGUACUAUCGCCAUGGUGGGGGCGAAGGAGUUAUUCUUUGCUUGUAUGUUGAUGACAUACUGCUUUUCGGAACAAAUCUGAAUGUUAUUAAGGAGGUCAAGGAUUUCCUAUCUCGUUGUUUUGAGAUGAAGGAUUUAGGAGUGGCUGAUGUCAUUUUGAACAUCAAGUUGUUGAGAGACGAUGAUGGUGGGAUUACAUUCCUUCAAUCUCACUAUGUGGAAAAUAUCUUGAGUCGCUUUGGCUAUAGUGACUGCAAGCCCUCUCCAACACCAUAUGAUGCGAGUGUGUUACUCCGAAAGAAUUGAAGAAUUGCUAGAGAUCAAUUGAAAUAUUCUCAGAUUAUUGGCUCGCUUAUGUACUUAGCCAGUGCUACAAGACCUGACAUCUCUUUUGCUGUUAGCAAACUGAGUCGGUUUGUCUCAAAACCAGGAGAUGUGCAUUGGAAAGCUCUAGAGAGAGUUUUGCGUUAUUUGAAAGGCACUGCGAAUUAUGAAAUUCACUACACUGGGCACCCAAAGGUGCUUGAAGGGUAUAGUGACUCAAACUGGAUCUCAGAUGCUGAUGAGAUAAAGGCCACGAGCGGUUAUGUAUUCACUCAUGGAGGUGGCGCUGUUUCUUGGAAGUCUUGCAAGCAGACCAUCUUAACGAGGUCAACAAUGGAAGCAGAACUCACGGCACUAGAUACAGCUACGGUCGAAGCAGAUUGGCUUUGCCGGCUCUUGAAUGACUUGCCGGUUGUUGAGAAACCUGUACCGGGUAUCCUUAUGAACUGCGACAAUCAAACUGUGAUCACGAAAGUGAGCAGCUCAAAGGAUAACAUGAAGUCAUCAAGACACGUUCAGAGAAGGUUAAAGUCUGUCAGGAAAAUGAGAAACUCCGGAGUUAUUGCAUUGGAUUAUAUCCAAACGUCUAAAAAUUUGGCAGAUCCUUUUACUAAGGGUCUAUCACGUAAUGUGAUAGAUAAUGCAUCAAGGGAGAUGGGUAUGAGACCCACAAUAUGAGUUGUUCACAGUGGUAACCUAUUCUUUGUGAUCGGAGAUCCCGUGAAUUAGAUGUGGAAGACAAGCUGUUGAUCAACUGAGAGGAGAGUAUCCUUACUAUUAACAAUACCACUCCAUGAAGAUGCAAUACUCUCCUAAAACUGUAUGGCAGGUUGAUGUAUAUCUUAAUGUGUUCUAAGUGGCUCAUUUAAGUAGAGAUGUUGUCCUGCAGAACAUCUUUUGAAGAACACACCUAUAUGAGUCUGCUUGUUAAACGUCGCAAUCUAUGAGAGUAGGGUUCUCUCUAGUAAACUCAUGAAAGGUCUCGGAGUAUGACGCAUAAGCUCCACCCGCGGGGAAGACCCACGGUAGCCACGUAUCGGUCAAGGCUUUAUGUGAAGCUAGAUUCGCAGAAAACUUGCAGUUCAAGGCCCAGUCCACUGUUCAAGUUGCUUACUAGUGUAGCAUAGAGUUCUAGGUGGAAGUUCAACUUAAUAGUCUCCACUGCAGUACCGGUAUAUAAAACAGUGUUUUGGAACCAAAGGCAAAUUUCUGUGUGCCUCUGGGAUCUGGUGGGGGAUUGCUGGAAUUUAGUCUAUUUUGGGUAGCCCAAUAACUAUUUCAGAAAUUCCUAAUAAAUCCUAGAGGCCCACUUAGCCCAUUUGUGCAAGGCAAGGGAUACUACUAAAGUUUAGUCCCACAUUGCUAGUUUAGUGGGAGUUGGACCUCCUUAUAAGGGAGGUUCUUUCCCCACUUGUAUGAGCAUGAGAACAAGAGGGACAUCCACGCGCGCUCCUCCUCCGCCGCCCGCCUCGCCGCGGGUUGCGGGAAUGAGCCGAUGUCUAAAUUUUUGCCACGCACUACGGGUAUACGAAAGGCCACUCGGGAGCUGGAAAGUUUUUGCUGUAGUGGAUAUUGAAUACGAACGCUGCACCCUUUGGCUGCUGCCCGUUCGUUUCAUCUCCCGCGUUCCCUUCAGCUUCCGGCGCAACCUCUCGCCUCCUUCUCUUGCGCCUAUAAAAGGGAGGUCGCUCCUCUCAGAGAGACGCAUCAGAACUCAUUCUUCCUCUCGCCACCGGUUCCUGAACACUGCGUUGCUGCUACGAUCUUCCUCAUCCCGGCUUGCGGCGUGCACCGCAGGUCGGGACAGUAGGCCUCCGAAACCGCACCUCUUUGAGUCCUGUACGGGAGAAGGGUGAUAAGGUUUUUGGGGAGCGCUCUGCGCGACUACUGACUUCUUCGUCACGGACACCCCGGACUCCGACGACUACUUCCCCGACGACGACUACUUCCCCGACAUCGACAACCUCCUCCACGACAUGGCUACCGAGGACACCGACCCCAAGUCCAGUGCUACUGUUGCAGCUGCUGUCCCGUACGUGUUCUUGUUUUUCCGGUUAGAGGUUCUGCCACAGUUCCUUGUUCUAGUCCUUGCCCUACACAUGAUAAGUUCUACUUCAUAUAUGCUACUUGGUCUACUGUCUACUCUAGAGAUGUUCGGUUCUAGUUUAUAUUUGCAGAUGUUAUCUACCUUCUCUUUGUCAGAUCGCAUGACUUGCUUUAUCUCUGCUACUUUAGUCAUGCUUUAUCUAGUAUUUCCGUUAAUAAAAUCAUAUGGUAAAUUGCUCAUAUUUCCAACACAAUCUAUGGACAGUCUGUCACUGGAGAUGAAGCAUGCGGUGGCCGCCCUUGCCGUUGCGUGGCAGAGCCGCCAUGCCAGGCGAAAUGAGGCUGGCUUGCCGGCCAGUUCGCCCAAGGUCUCCGACAAGAGGACAACUCCACGAUGGAGACAGGCUCCGACGACAUCGUCCCGGCUCCCGCGCCUCAUUGCACGUCGGCUUCACCAUGGAGCAGGCGCAAGCGCAGUACAACGCCGCCAUGGCGGAGGUGCAGCCUGGGCCAGCGCCUUUGUCAGUGUUCCAACAGGCAUGGUGUUGGAAAUAUGCCCUAGAGGCAAUAAUAAAUGGUUAUUAUUAUAUUUCUUUGUUCAUGGUAAUUGUCUAUUGUUCAUGCUAUAAUUGUGUUAUCCGGAAAUCGUAAUACAUGUGUGAAUACAUAGACCACAACGUGUCCCUAGUAAGCCUCUAGUUGACUAGCUCGUUGAUCAAUAGAUAGUCAUGGUUUCCUGACUAUGGACAUUGGAUGUCGUUGAUAACGGGAUCACAUCAUUAGGAGAAUGAUGUGAUGGACAAGACCCAAUCCUAAGCAUAGCAUAAAAGAUCGUGUAGUUUCGUUUGCUAGAGCUUUUCCAAUGUAAAGUAUCUUUUCCUUAGACCAUGAGAUCGUGCAACUCCCGGAUACCAUAGGAGUGCUUUGGGUGUGCCAAACGUCACAACGUAACUGGGUGACUAUAAAGGUGCACUACGGGUAUCUCCGAAAGUGUCUGUUGGGUUGGCACGGAUCGAGACUGGGAUUUGUCACUCCGUGUGACGGAGAGGUAUCUCUGGGCCCACUCGGUAAUGCAUCAUCAUAAUGAGCUCAAUGUGACUAAGGCGUUAGUCACGGGAUCAUGCAUUGGGGUACGAGUAAAGAGACUUGCCGGUAACGAGAUUGAACAAGGUAUUGGGAUACCGACGAUCGAAUCUCGGGCAAGUAACAUACCGAUUGACAAAGGGAAUUGUAUGCGGGAUUGAUUGAAUCCUCGACAUCGUGGUUCAUCCGAUGAGAUCAUCAUGGAACAUGUGGGAGCCAACAUGGGUAUCCAGAUCCCGCUGUUGGUUAUUGACCGGAGAGGCGUCUCGGUCAUGUCCGCAUGUCUCCCGAACCCGUAGGGUCUACACACUUAAGGUUCGGUGACGCUAGGGUUGUAGAGAUAUGAGUAUGCGGAAACCCGAAAGCUGUUCGGAGUCCCGGAUGAGAUCCCGGACGUCACGAGGAGUUCCGGAAUGGUCCGAAGGUGAAGAAUUAUAUAUAGGAAGUCAAGUUUCGGCCACCGGGAAAGUUUCGGGGGUUAUCAGUAUUGUACCGGGACCACCGGAAGGGUCCCGGGGGUCCACCGUGUGGGGCCACCUAUCCCGAAGGGCCCCAUGGGCUGAAGUGGGAUGGCAACCAGCCCUUAGUGGGCUGGGUCGCCCCCCAUGGGCCUCCCCCCUGCGCCUAGGGUUGGAAACCCUAGGGUGGGGGGGGGCGCCCCACUUGCCUUGGGGGGCAAGUCUUCCCCCCUGGCCGCCGCCCCCCCAUCCAGAUGGGAUCCUGGCUGGCGCCCCCCUCCCAGGGGGCCUAUAUAAAGGGGGGAGGGAGGGCAGCAUUAUUACAGCCUUGGGCGCCUCCCUCCUCCCCUGCUACACCUCUCCCUCUCGCAGAAGCUCGGCGAAGCCCUGCCGAGACCCGCUACAUCCACCACCACGCCGUCGUGCUGCUGGAUCUCCAUCAACCUCUCCUUCCCCUUGCUGGAUCAAGAAGGAGGAGACGUCGCUGCACCGUACGUGUGUUGAACGCGGAGGUGCCGUCCGUUCGGCACUCGGUCAUCGGUGAUUUGAAUCACGGCGAGUACGACUCCGUCAUCCACAUUCAUUGGAACGCUUCCGCUCGCGAUCUACAAGGGUAUGUAGAUGCACUCCUUUCCCCUCGUUGCUAGUAUAUUCCAUAGAUGGAUCUUGGUGAGCGUAGGAAAAUUUUAAAAUUAUGCUACGAUAACCAACAGUGGCAUCAUGAGCCAGGCCUAUGCGUAGUUACUAUGCACGAGUAGAACACAAAGUAGUUUUGGGCGUUGAUGUUGCCAAUUCUUCUUGCCGCUACUAGUCGUAUCUCGUUUCGGCGGUAUUGUAGGAUGAAGCGGCCCGGACCGACCUUACACGUACGCUUACGUGAGACAGGUUCCACCGACUGACAUGCACUAGUUGCAUAAGGUGGCUAGCGGGUGUCUGUCUCUCCUACUUUAGUCGGAACGGAUUCGAUGAAAAGGGUCCUUAUGAAGGGUAAAUAGAAAUUGGCAAAUCGCAUUGUGGUUUUACGUAGGUAAGAAACGUUCUUGCUAGAAACCUAUACAAGCCACGUAAAAACUUGCAACAACAAUUAGAGGACGUCUAACUUGUUUUUUGCAGCAAGUGCUAUGUGAUGUGAUAUGGCCAGAAGAUGUGAUGAAUGAUAUAUGUGAUGUAUGAGAUUGAUCAUAUUCUUGUAAUAGGAAUCACGACUUGCAUGUCGAUGAGUAUGACAACCGGCAGGAGCCAUAGGAGUUGUCUUUAUUAUUUUGUAUGACCUGCGUGUCAUUGAAUAACGCCAUGUAAAUUACUUUACUUUGUUGCUAAACGCGUUAGCCAUAGAAGUAGAAGUAAUCGUUGGCGUGACGACUUCAUGAAGACACAAUGAUGGAGAUCAUGAUGAUGGAGAUCAUGGUGUCAUGCCGGUGACGAAGAUGAUCAUGGUGCCCCGAAGAUGGAGAUCAAAGGAGCAAAAUGAUAUUGGCCAUAUCAUGUCACUAUUUGAUUGCAUGUGAUGUUUAUCAUGUUUUGCAUCUUAUUUGCUUAGAACGACGGUAGUAAGUAAGAUGAUCCCUUAUAAUAAUUUCAAGAAAGUGUUCACCCUAACUGUGCACCGUUGCGAAGGUUCGUUGUUUCGAAGCACCACGUGAUGAUCGGGUGUGAUAGAUUAUAACGUUCGCAUACAACGGGUGUUGACGAGCCUAGCAUGUACAGACAUGGCCUCGAAACACACGCAAUACACUUAGGUUGACUUGACGAGCCUAGCAUGUACAGACAUGGCAUCGGAACACGGAGGACCGAAAGGUCGAGCAUGAGUCGUAUAGAAGAUACGAUCAACAUGGAGAUGUUCACCGAUCUUGACUAGUCCGUCUCACGUGAUGAUCGGACACGGCCUAGUUAACUCGGAUCAUGUUGCACUUAGAUGACUAGAGGGAUGUCUAUCUGAGUGGGAGUUCAUUGAGUAAUUUGAUUAGAUGAACUUAAUUAUCAUGAACUUAGUCUAAAAUCUUUACACUAUGUCUUGUAGAUCAAAUGGCCCACGUUGUCCUCAAUUUCAACGCGUUCCUAGAGAAAACCAAGCUGAAAGAUGAUGGCAGCAACUAUACGGACUGGGUCCGAAACCUGAGGAUCAUCCUCAUAGCAGCCAAGAAAGAUUAUGUCUUAGAAGCACCGCUAGGUGAAGCACCAAUCCCAGAGAACCAAGACGUUAUGAACGCUUGGCAAUCACGUGCUGAUGAUUACUCCCCCGUUCAGUGCGGCAUGCUUUACAGCUUAGAACCGGGUCUCCCAAAGCGUUUUGAGAAACAUGGAGCAUAUGAGAUGUUCGAGGAGCUGAAAAUGGUUUUCCAAGCUCAUGCCCGGGUCGAGAGAUAUGAAGUCUCCGACAAGUUCUUCAGCUGUAAAAUGGAGGAGAAUAGUUCUGUUAGUGAGCACACACUCAGAAUGUCUGGGUUGCACAACCGCUUGUCUCAGCUGGGAGUUAAUCUCCCGGAUGACGCGGUCAUUGACAGAAUCCUUCAGUCGCUUCCACCAAGCUACAAGAACUUUGUGAUGAACUUCAAUAUGCAGGGGAUGGAAAAGACCAUUCCCGAGGUAUAUUCAAUGUUGAAAUCAGCGGAGGUGGAGAUCAGAAAAGAACAUCAAGUGUUGAUGGUGAAUAAAACCACUAAGUUCAAGAAGGGCAAGGGUAAGAAGAACUUCAAGAAGGACGGCAAGGGAGUUGCCGCGCCCGGUAAGCCAGUUGCCGGGAAGAAGCCAAGGAAUGGACCCAAGCCUGAGACUGAGUGCUUUUAUUGCAAGGGAAGUGGUCACUGGAAGCGGAACUGCCCCAAAUACUUAGCGGACAAGAAGGCCGGCAACACCAAAGGUAUAUGUGAUAUACAUGUAAUCGAUGUGUACCUUACCAGUACUCGUAGUAGCUCCUGGGUAUUUGAUACCGGUGUGGUUGCUCAUAUUUAUAACUCAAAACAGGAACUACGGAAUAAACGGAGACUGGCGAAGGACGAGGUGACGAUGCGCGUCGGGAAUGGUUCCAAGGCCGAUGUGAUCGCCAUCGGCACGCUACCUCUGCAUCUACCUACGGGAUUAGUUUUAAACCUCAAUAAUUGUUAUUUAGUGCCAGCUUUGAGCAUGAACAUUGUAUCUGGAUCUCGUUUAAUUCGAGAUGGCUACUCAUUUAAAUCCGAGAAUAAUGGUUGUUCUAUUUAUAUGAGAGAUAUGUUUUAUGGUCAUGCCCCGCUGGUUAAUGGUUUAUUCUUGAUGAAUCUCGAACGUGAUGUUACACAUAUUCAUAGUGUGAAUACCAAAAGAUGUAAAGUUGAUAACGAUAGUCCCACAUACUUGUGGCACUGCCGCCUUGGUCACAUUGGUGUCAAGCGCAUGAAGAAGCUCCAUGCAGAUGGACUUUUGGAGUCUCUUGAUUACGAAUCAUUUGACACGUGCGAACCAUGCCUCAUGGGUUAGAUGACCAAGACUCCGUUCUCCGGAACAAUGGAGCGAGCAACCAACUUAUUGGAAAUCAUACAUAUCGAUGUGUGCGGUCCAAUGAGUGUUGAGGCUCGCGGAGGAUAUCGUUAUGUUCUCACUCUCACUGAUGACUUAAGUAGAUAUGGGUAUGUCUACCUAAUGAAACACAAGUCUGAAACCUUUGAAAAGUUCAAGGAAUUUCAGAGUGAGGUUGAGAAUCAACGUGACAGGAAAAUAAAAUUCUUACGAUCAGAUCGUGGUGGAGAAUAUUUAAGUCACGAGUUUGGUAUACACUUAAGGAAAUGUGGAAUAGUUUCACAACUCACGCCGCCUGGAACACCUCAGAGAAACGGUGUGUCCGAACGUCGUAAUCGCACUCUAUUGGAUAUGGUGCGAUCUAUGAUGUCUCUUACCGAUUUACCGCUCUCAUUUUGAGGCUAUGCUUUAGAGACUGCCGCAUUCACUUUAAAUAGGGCUCCGUCGAAAUCCGUUGAGACGACACCGUAUGAAUUAUGGUUUGGGAAGAAACCUAAGCUGUCGUUUCUAAAAGUUUGGGGAUGCGAUGCUUAUGUAAAGAAACUUCAACCUGAAAAGCUCGAACCCAAGUCGGAGAAAUGCGUCUUCAUAGGAUACCCUAAGGAAACCAUUGGGUAUACCUUCUACCUCAGAUCCGAAGGCAAGAUCUUCGUUGCCAAGAACGGGUCCUUUCUGGAGAAGGAGUUUCUCUCGAAAGAAUUGAGUGGGAGGAAAGUGGAACUUGAUGAGGUGAUAGUCACCCCUUCCGAACCGGAAAGUAGCGCAGCGCGGGAAAAUGUUCCUGUGGUGCCUACACCGACUGGGGAGGAAGUUAAUGAUGAUGAUCAUGAAGCUUCGGAUCAAGUUACUACUGAACUUCGUAGGUCCACAAGGACACGUUCCGCACCAGAGUGGUACGGCAACCCUGUCCUGGAAAUCAUGUUGUUAGACAACGGUGAACCUUCGAACUAUGAAGAAGCGAUGGCGGGCCCGGAUUCCGACAAAUGGCUAGAAGCCAUGAAAUCCGAGAUAGGAUCCAUGUAUGAAAACGAAGUAUGGACUUUGACUGACUUGCCCGAUGAUCGGCGAGCCAUAGAAAACAAAUGGAUCUUUAAGAAGAAGACAAACGCGGAUGGUAAUGUGACCAUCUAUAAGGCUCGACUUGUCGCUAAGGGUUAUCGACAAGUUCAAGGGGUUGACUAUGAUGAGACUUUCUCACCCGUAGCGAAGCUGAAGUCCGUCCGAAUCAUGUUAGCAAUUGCCGCAUACUAUGAUUAUGAGAUAUGGCAGAUGGACGUCAAAACGGCAUUCCUUAAUGGCUUCCUUAAGGAAGAGUUGUAUAUGAUGCAGCCGGAAGGUUUUGUCGAUCCUAAGAAUGCUAACAAAGUAUGCAAGCUCCAGCGCUCAAUCUAUGGGCUGGUGCAAGCAUCUCGGAGUUGGAACAUUCGCUUUGAUGAGAUGAUCAAAGCGUUUGGGUUUACACAGACUUAUGGAGAAGCCUGUGUUUACAAGAAAGUGAGUGGGAGCUCUGUAGCAUUUCACUUAUUAUAUGUGGAUGACAUAUUAUUGAUGGGAAAUGAUAUAGAAUUCUUGGAAAGUAUAAAGGCCUAUUUGAAUAAGUGUUUUUCAAUGAAGGACCUUGGAGAAGCUGCUUAUAUAUUAGGCAUCAAGAUCUAUAGAGAUAGAUCAAGACGCCUCAUUGGUCUUUCACAGAGUACAUACCUUGACAAGAUAUUGAAGAAGUUCAAUAUGGAUCAGUCCAAGAAGGGGUUCUUGCCUGUAUUGCAAGGUGUGCAAUUGAGCAUGGCUCAAUGCCCGACCACGGCAGAAGAUAUAGAAAAGAUGAGUGUCAUCCCUAUGCCUCGGCCAUAGGGUCUAUUAUGUAUGCCAUGCUGUGUACCAGACCUGAUGUAAACCUUGCCGUAAGUUUGGUAGGAAGGUACCAAAGUAAUCCCGGCAUGGAACACUGGACAGCGGUCAAGAAUAUCCUGAAGUACCUGAAGAGGACUAAGGAUAUGUUUCUCGUUUAUGGAGGUGACGAAGAGCUCGUCGUAAAGGGUUACGUCGACGCUAGCUUCCACACAGAUCUGGAUGACUCGAAGUCACAAACCGGAUACGUGUAUAUUUUGAAUGGAGGAGCGGUAAGCUGGUGCAGUUGCAAGCAAAGCGUCGUGGCGGGAUCUACAUGUGAAGCGGAGUACAUGGCAGCCUCGGAGGCAGCACAGGAAGCAGUCUGGAUGAAGGAGUUCAUUACCGACCUAGGGGUGAUUCCCAAUGCGUCGGGCCCGAUGACUCUCUUCUGUGACAACACUGGAGCUAUUGCCCUUGCGAAGGAGCCCAGGUUUCACAGGAAGACCAGGCAUAUCAAGCGUCGCUUCAACUCCAUUCGUGAAAGUGUUCAAAAUGGAGACAUAGAUAUUUGUAAAGUACAUACGGACCUGAAUGUAGCAGAUCCGUUGACUAAACCUCUCCCUAGGGCAAAACAUGAUCAACACCAGGACGCAAUGGGUGUUCGAUUCAUCACAAUGUAACUAGAUUAUUGACUCUAGUGCAAGUGGGAGACUGUUGGAAAUAUGCCCUAGAGGCAAUAAUAAAUGGUUAUUAUUAUAUUUCUUUGUUCAUGGUAAUUGUCUAGUGUUCAUGCUAUAAUUGUGUUAUCCGGAAAUCGUAAUACAUGUGUGAAUACAUAGACCACAACGUGUCCCAAGUAAGCCUCUAGUUGACUAGCUCGUUGACCAAUAGAUAGUCAUGGUUUCCUGACUAUGGACAUUGGAUGUCGUUGAUAACGGGAUCACAUCAUUAGGAGAAUGAUGUGAUGGACAAGACCCAAUCCUAAGCAUAGCAUAAAAGAUCGUGUAGUUUCGUUUGCUAGAGCUUUUCCAAUGUCAAGUAUCUUUUCCUUAGACCAUGAGAUCGUGCAACUCCCGGAUACCGUAGGAGUGCUUUGGGUGUGCCAAACGUCACAACGUAACUGGGUGACUAUAAAGGUGCACUACGGAUAUCUCCGAAAGUGUCUGUUGGGUUGGCACGGAUCGAGACUGGGAUUUGUCACUCCGUGUGACGGAGAGGUAUCUCUGGGCCCACUCGGUAAUGCAUCAUCAUAAUGAGCUCAAUGUGACUAAGGCGUUAGUCACGGGAUCAUGCAUUGCGGUACGAGUAAAGAGACUUGCCGGUAACGAGAUUGAACAAGGUAUUGGGAUACCGACGAUCGAAUCUCGGGCAAGUAACAUACCGAUUGACAAAGGGAAUUGUAUGCGGGAUUGAUUGAAUCCUCGACAUCGUGGUUCAUCCGAUGAGAUCAUCGUGGAACAUGUGGGAGCCAACAUGGGUAUCCAGAUCCCGCUGUUGGUUAUUGACCGGAGAGGCGUCUCGGUCAUGUCUGCAUGUCUCCCGAACCCGUAGGGUCUACACACUUAAGGUUCGGUGACGCUAGGGUUGUAGAGAUAUGAGUAUGCGGAAACCCGAAAGUUGUUCGGAGUCCCGGAUGAGAUCCCGGACGUCACGAGGAGUUCCGGAAUGGUCCGGAGGUGAAGAAUUAUAUAUAGGAAGUCAAGUUUCGGCCACCGGGAAAGUUUCAGGGGUUAUCGGUAUUGUACCGGGACCACCGGAAGGGUCCCGGGGGUCCACCGGGUGGGGCCACCUAUCCCGGAGGGCCCUAUGGGCUGAAGUGGGAUGGCAACCAGCCCUUAGUGGGCUGGGGCGCCCCCCAUGGGGCUCCCCCCUGCGCCUAGGGUUGGAAACCCUAGGGUGGGGGGCGCCCCACUUGCCUUGGGGGGCAAGUCUUCCCCCCUGGCCGCCGCCCCCCAUCCAGAUGGGAUCCUGGCCGGCGCCCCCCUCCCAGGGGGCCUAUAUAAAGGGGGGGAGGGAGGGCAGCAUUAUUACAGCCUUGGGCGCCUCCCUCCUCCCCUGCUACACCUCUCCCUCUCGCAGAAGCUCGACGAAGCCCUGCCGAGACCCGCUACAUCCACCACCACGCCAUCGUGCUGCUGGAUCUCCAUCAACCUCUCCUUCCCCUUGCUGGAUCAAGAAGGAGGAGACGUCGCUGCACCGUACGUGUGUUGAACGCGGAGGUGCCGUCCGUUCGGCACUCGGUCAUCGGUGAUUUGAAUCACGGCGAGUACGACUCCGUCAUCCACGUUCAUUGGAACGCUUCCGCUCGCGAUCUACAAGGGUAUGUAGAUGCACUCCUUUCCCCUCGUUGCUAGUAUACUCCAUAGAUGGAUCUUGGUGAGCGUAGGAAAAUUUUAAAAUUAUGCUACGAGUACCAACACGUGGGAGGGACAUCGAUACAACCUGUUCCUCCUAGAGCAGCACCGGCUGGCGCAGGGCUAGUUCUACGACGAGUGCGGGGGCGAGAAGGCCGUGUCGGCCAUAGCCGUGAUGAACCCUAAUUUCGUCGCAGAGCAGUGUGCCAUCUAUGAUGUCGUCCGCGCUCAAGCCACUGCUCGCCAGAAAAUAAGGAUGGCAGGAUACGGGCAUAAUUUUGUGCCCACGGGUAGUACCCAUACCCUACCCGUUAAGUCAUGGGUAGGGCACGGGUAUAGCAUUUCACCCAUGGAUAUACCCAUACCCUACCCGUUUAUACUAAACAUGUGAACCUUACCCAUGAUAAACAAGUGUACCUAUUUUAAAGUUGUGUUGUGAGAUUGUGAACCUAUGUUAAAGUUGUCACCAAUUAUCAUUUUGAAUUGAGAUAAUUGUCAUGUAGCCAUCUAUCUACUAUUGAGUUGAGAUCAAUGUUUUUUUCCUCAAAUGUGUUAUAGAUGAAUAUAAAAUUGUGAAUAACUUGUAUACUGUUUGAUCUACCCAUUGGGUACCCAAUGCAAAUGGGUACCCAUCGGGUAUGGGUACGGGUAAAGUUUCGUACCCAUGGGUACGGGUAUGGGUAAAUUUUUGUACCUAUUGACUAUACAGGUAUGGAUAUGGUAUUGCUCUACCCGCCCCAUACCCUACUCAUUGUCAUCCUUACCAGGAAACGACCGCCGCUGAGGCGCAGCUCUGGGCGAUCGCAAAGGAGAACAAGGUCAGUUGCGUCUCCUACGUGUCGCCAAUGAACCAUCCGGCGGCCCGGCGGGACAACAACAGCCCGGUUAACUGAACAGUCCAAGUCAGCGUAUAUAAUUGCCCAACAGGAGGCGCGGGUAUCGCACGCAGCCAACUUCUCCCGGGUAUAGUCCCACCUCGUCUGUGAGAGGAGAUGACGCAAAGAUUUCCAACUAUAUAAAAGGUGUUGCUGCUGCAUUUGAAUCACAACUACUGAAAACUAUACCAUAAUGAAUUUUCAGUUAUCUAUUUUAAAUUACAAUUUUUGGUUUUUGUUUGUCUAACUGAAUUAAAAAAUUAACCAGAUGGUAAAAACCAAAAUUUUGGUUUAUACCGAACACCCACUCCUAGUUGCCGGUUUUAAAUUUUUAAAAAAAUCAUAGUUUAAAGAAAAGUCCACAAGUUUAAAUAAGUUUAUCGAUAUGAUAGAAGUACACGAAUGGAACAAAAAGUCCAUGAAAUUGAAAAAAAGUUUAUCGAUUUGAGAAAAGUACAUAAAUGUGCCAAAAAGUUCAGGAAAUUGAAAAAAAAAUAAGCACUUCUGUAGGAUUUUUUUUCAAAUCGAUGAACGUUUUCAGUUUUCUAUUUUUUUCCAAAUUCGUAAACUUUUUUUCAAAUCGAUGAACUUUUUCAGUUUCACGGACUUUUUUGUCCUUGGAGCUAGGGGUGGGCAUAACAACCGACAAACCAAAUACCGAACAUAAAGAACUAUUUUUUUUUUGUUUUUUGUGUUGGUGUUGGAAAAUUUCUGCCACAUGUUCGUGUUAUAAUAUUUAUUACUGUACAUAAAAAUUAUUUGCAUUUUCAAAAAAUUGUUCACUAUUUCAUAAAUUGUUCUUGUUUUCAAAUUUGUUCCUUUUUCAUAAAUGUUUGAGAUUCCCAAAAAAAUGUUCGCAUUUCACAAAUGUUUGACAUUACAAUAUUUUGUUCAGAAACUUGAAAUGCUCGCGUUAAAAAAAUAUUUAUUUAUUUUCAGAAAGAAAAUCAUGUUUGGAAUUUAAACAAGUUUAAUCUGUUUGCGGCUGAUGGUUCAUAUACACUGGGCUGCCUUUUUAGACACCAAACCUCUGCAAUUAUAGUGGCUAGCGAUGCAUUUUACUAGCAAGAGGUCCUUUUUUAGAGAGAAAAAAACUUGCAAGAGGUCCUUUGUUCAAUUCCCCGCACAGACUUGGGUUUUGGGAAUUUCUGCUAACUGCCUUUUAAGUUUUGCUGCCCUCUUCUCUUUCUUUAAGGGUUGCAUUGCAAGCCUAACGCAAGAACUGCGGUGGUUAGCAAACUGCGCUUACUUCCACCAGGUAUUGUGUUCGAAUCCCAGCCCCAGCGCACAAUUUUUUAUAUGUUUUUUCACCUUAUUAUGUGGUUCUAUGUACAUACAGCUCUGCCACGUACGGAGGUNNNNNNNNNNNNNNNNNNNNNNNNNNNNNNNNNNNNNNNNNNNNNNNNNNNNNNNNNNNNNNNNNNNNNNNNNNNNNNNNNNNNNNNNNNNNNNNNNNNNNNNNNNNNNNNNNNNNNNNNNNNNNNNNNNNNNNNNNNNNNNNNNNNNNNNNNNNNNNNNNNNNNNNNNNNNNNNNNNNNNNNNNNNNNNNNNNNNNNNNNNNNNNNNNNNNNNNNNNNNNNNNNNNNNNNNNNNNNNNNNNNNNNNNNNNNNNNNNNNNNNNNNNNNNNNNNNNNNNNNNNNNNNNNNNNNNNNNNNNNNNNNNNNCUAUCGAAGCAUGGCUCAAGUAAGAAAUAAUCAUAAAGGACAUCACACAAUGCUCAUAUAUACGUACAUCAUAACAUGUCUACGUAUUGUCUAUAUACAAAAAAGAUCUUACUCAUCACAACAGCUAUAUACAACAUGUAUAGGCAGAAAUCAAUGCUUGUAUGGAUGGUGAGCACUGAAAUCACGACGCUCAUAUAUACAUUGUAACAUCACUACGUAUCAUGUAUAUACAAAAACAAAUCAUAUUCAUCACAUCUCCUAUAUAUAUACAUCAUACCAUCACAUCAUCUAUACAUCUACGUACCAUCUAUGAAUGCAUCUCACCAUCUAUAUAGAAAACAAAACGACGGUGCUGCGCCGACUUAGUCCGCGUCAGCGUGAGCUGCAUCUCCUCCCCGUCACUGUCCAUGCGAAAGCUGUGGUCCUUAUCCCCAAGGUCCAUGGCGUCCAAGCGGUGGCGACGGCGAGGCAGUGAGCAGCUGGAGGGUUGGCGGCGGCGGCGACUAGCGAUCCUUGAGGAGGCAAGGAGAUGAGGAGAUGGGUAGGAUAUCAAUCUCCGUCCUAAAUAUGGAACACGAUCGAUCACGUAAUUAUUAUUUACCUAAGGAGAAAGAGAGAGAUAUGAGAUUCCUUCUAUCAUUCCAUCUAGAGAUGAUUUUUUGAGCGAAAAUCAUUCCAUCUACGUGCGUGUGUGUGAGCAAGUCAUGUAUCUCGAUCGUCGGCUACAUAGAAUGAUUUUCCUCUCAAGUCACAGCCACUCAAUGUGAAUCAUCUUAUAUCCUUGAAAGCUCUCUUGUACAGAAUCCAGGCAAAGCUUUGUUCUGCUGAACAUGCAAUUCUGAAAAUUGUUACACCGAGACAUUGCUCUUGGUGAGUUCACACGGCCAGAAUUCUGAAAUCCUCACACGAGCCGCGUUUUAUGCAGUAUUUUUUUAAUUUAUUUGUUGAAUUUUGUCUCCUAAUAUUUGGUUUCAUUCAGGGAAACUUGUGAAGGAGCAGCUGCAUAAAGGCUUGGAAUGUGUUGUAUCACACCACCACAAAAGCAAACAAAUAUAAGACGUUUUAGGUAGCAAGUGUUCAAUGCGGAAAUCCAUUUUGGGUCUAGGGAGCACAUGCUCCUGCAUGCCAAAAAUGGAUUUUACAAAUGUCAAUUUUUUUUAAAAAAAUGGAUGUUUUUAAUUCAUUGUCCCGUCCGAAUGGCACAUGAAAAUUGUUACACCGAUACAUUGCUCUUGGUGAUUUCACACGGCCAGUGUUCUGAAAUCCUUGCGGAUUAUAUGCAGUAUUUUUUAAUUUAUUUGUUGAAUUUUCUCUCCUGAUAUAUUUGGUUUCAUUCAGGAAAACUUGUGAAAGACAGCUGCAUAAAAGGCUUGGAACGUGUUGUAUCACACCACCACAGAGCACAUGCUCCUGCAUGCCAAAAAUGGAUUUUACAAAUAUCAUUUUAAAAAAAUGGAUGCUUUUAAUUUAUUGUCCUGUUCGAAUGGUACAUGCAAAUUUUCAGAGGGAAAACUUAAGCAUUUUGACCCGUGAAAAGGAAACAAGCCGAAGACCGAUGAAGCACUGUUAUCCCAUAUGACAUGAAAAUUGUCGAGCACACUUAGCUACGCUAAUAUGAACAUCUACAAAAAAAGUCAGAAUCUUUUAAAUUUAUUUACUACUGUAUUUAUUUUGAUUUUGCUCUGUUGCACAAACAUGUUGAAUUCUGAGUACAGGUCAGAAGUGCAGAGAUACUGCAGAAAAUCGAGCCGUUGCCACUCUCACUUCCUUUAUUCCCGUCAGACGGCGGAGCCGAGCAUGUCCCGCGCCUUUCUUCGCCGGCGCCGGCGCCGGCGGCUGCUCCUCCGCCCCUCGCUCCACACCGUCUUUCUCCGCCUCCAUGGCGCCCUGGCGAACCGCACCGCCCCCGCCCGCCGCGACCUCCACAGCGCCGAUGACCAGGCACGCGCGGUGCUCGACGAGAGGCCGCACCGGGACGCCGUCGCCUACGCAGCCACGGCCCACCUCCCGCCAGCGGAGGCGCUCUUCCGCCCGGCGCCCGCGUCCGCCCGCGGCCCCCAUCUGGACGCCAUGAUGCUCGACGGGUACGUAAAGGCCGGCCACGUCGACCGCGCCCGCAGGCUGUUCGACGGAAUGGCGGUCAAGAGCGUGGCGGCGUGGACCUGCCUGGUCUCCGGGUACUGCCGCGCCGGGCGCGUCGACGAGGCGCGCGCUCUGUUCGACGCGAUGCCGGCCCGCAGCGUCGUCUCGUGGACGGCCAUGGCGCAGGGGUACGCGCGCAGCGGGAUGCUGAGGGGGGCGAGGGAGCUGUUCGACCAGAUGCCGGAGAGGAACGUGGUCACCUGGACGGUCAUGGUGAAGGCCUACGCCGACCACGGCCACUUCCAGGAGGCCGUGGAGCUGUUCGACAGGAUGCCCCAGAGGAACCCGUAUUCUUGGAGCGCCAUGAUCUCCGGUUUCCUCCGUGCUGGGAAAGUGGAUGAGGCGGUUCGGCUGUUCGAGAGGAUGCCGGAUAGGAAUGUGGUUUCUUGGACCACGAUGGUCACUGGCUUGGCGCAGAACGGUCGCGUUUCGAUGGCAAGAGAGUUCUUCGACAGAAUGCCGAGAAACAAGGACAUUGCGGCGUGGAAUGCGAUGGUCACUGCUUAUGCCAGUGAUGGCCAGAUGAACGAGGCUCAGAGAUUGUUUGAUUCGAUGCCCGCAAAGAACCUGGUGAGCUGGAAUGCCCUGAUCCAUGGCUAUGCCAAGGACGAGCGUAAGGAUGAAAUCAUUGGUUUAUUUCUUCUCAUGCUCCGGUCAGCAGUAUCUCCUGACAUCACCACAUUGAUCAGUGUCUUGGUUACAGCCAAUAGCACAAUUGAAGUUGGGCAAAUCCAUGGCUUCGCUACCACACGAGGUCUCCUGUCAGACACCUCCUUAGGAAACGCUCUGCUCACCAUGUACUCAAGGAGUGGCGACCUGCGCUCUGCCUGGCAAGCUUUCAAGAUGUUACAAGAGAAGGAUGCCAUCACAUGGACAUCGAUGAUGCAAGCCUUCGCCAACCAUGGCUGUGCCUCCUACGCGCUGCAGGCCUUUGCUCAGAUGCUGCGACAUGGAUAUAAGCCCAGCUCAACCACCUUCACCGCAGUGCUGUCAGCCUGCAGCCAUGCCGGUCUUGUCGACAAAGGCCGGGCAAUCUUCGCAUCAGUUCACCGCUACGGGCUCGAGCCAACAAUCGAGCACCACACCUGCCUUGUUGACAUCCUCGGCCGUGCAGGGCAUGUGAGGGAAGCAAUGAAGAUCGUUGCCGCCAUGCCAUUGGAUACACGUGACGAUGCUGUCCUGAGGACGCUGCUGGGGGCCUGCAUGAUGCAUAAUGAGGUGGAUGCAGCAAGGGAAGUGGGGGAGGCUCUUGCCAAGUCUGACGGCCCCUCUGGUUCAGAUUCAGAUGGCUACUACAAGGUUCUGGCCAAUGUGUUUGGGUCAGGUGGGAGGUGGGAGGAGAUGGCAGGUGUGUGGAAGGCUAUGAAGGGGAGCAAGGUGAGGAGGACGCCCGGGGUUAGCCAGAUAGUGGUGGAUGCGAGGACCCACAUGUUCUUUUCCAGGGAUCAGGGGCAUCCACAGUGUGCAGAGAUAUAUGAGAUGCUGGACGACGCGCUUGUCCC
rnacentral:lncRNA from 1 species